GACGAACGCUGGCGGCGUGCUUAACACAUGCAAGUCGAACGGAAAGGCCCUGCUUUUGUGGGGUGCUCGAGUGGCGAACGGGUGAGUAACACGUGAGUAACCUGCCCUUGACUUUGGGAUAACUUCAGGAAACUGGGGCUAAUACCGGAUAUGAGCUCCUGCUGCAUGGUGGGGGUUGGAAAGUUUCGGCGGUUGGGGAUGGACUCGCGGCUUAUCAGCUUGUUGGUGGGGUAGUGGCUUACCAAGGCUUUGACGGGUAGCCGGCCUGAGAGGGUGACCGGCCACAUUGGGACUAAGAUACGGCCCAGAAUCCUACGGGAGGCAGCAGGGGGGAAUAUUGCACAAUGGGCGGAAGCCUGAUGCAGAAACGCCGCGUGCGGGAUGACGGCCUUCGGGUUGUAAACCGCUUUCGCCUGUGACGAAGCGUGAGUGACGGUAAUGGGUAAAGAAGCACCGGCUAACUACGUG
rnacentral:rRNA from 1 species